UACGUGGGUGGCAAGCGUUGUCCGGAUUUACUGGGCGUAAGGAGCGCGCAGGCGGUCGUCCAAGUCGCGUGUGAAAGCCCCCCGGCUCAACUGGGGAGGGUCACGCGAUACUGGUCGACUCGAAGGCAGGAGAGGGUAGUGGAAUUCCCGGUGUAGUGGUGAAAUGCGUAGAUAUCGGGAGGAACACCAGUGGCGAAGGCGACUACCUGGCCUGUUCUUGACGCUGAGGCGCGAAAGCUAGGGGAGCAAACGGG
rnacentral:rRNA from 1 species